rnacentral:rRNA from 1 species
ACUCAAAUGAAUUGACGGGGACCCGCACAAGCGGUGGAUGAUGUGGAUUAAUUCGAUGCAACGCGAAAAACCUUACCUACCCUUGACAUGCCAGGAAUCCUUGAGAGAUUGAGGAGUGCCCGAAAGGGAAUCUGGACACAGGUGCUGCAUGGCUGUCGUCAGCUCGUGUCGUGAGAUGUUGGGUUAAGUCCCGCAACGAGCGCAACCCUUGUCAUUAAUUGCCAUCAUUUAGUUGGGCACUUUAAUGAGACUGCCGGUGACAAACCGGAGGAAGGUGGGGACGACGUCAAGUCCUCAUGGCCCUUACGGGUAGGGCUUCACACGUCAUACAAUGGUCAGUUCAGAGGGUUGCCAACCUGCGAAGGGGAGCUAAUCCCAUAAAGCUGAUCGUAGUCCGGAUUGCAGUCUGCAACUCGACUGCAUGAAGUCGGAAUCGCUAGUAAUCGCGGAUCAGCAUGUCGCGGUGAAUACGUUCCCGGGUCUUGUACACACCGCCCGU